UGGGGAAUUUUGCACAAUGGAGGAAACUCUGAUGCAGCGACGCCGCGUGAGUGAUGAAGAUCUUCGGAUUGUAAAACUCUGUCCUUAGUGAAGAUAAUGACAGUAAAUAAGAAGCAAGCCCUGGCUAAAUACGUGCCAGCAGCCGCGGUAAUACGUAUGGGGCAAGCGUUGUCCGGAAUUAUUGGGCGUAAAGGGUACGUAGGCGGUUUAAUAAGUCCUAAUUAAAAGGCUAUGGCUCAACCAUAGUAUGGUUAGGAAACUGUUGAACUUGAGUAGAUGAGGGGAAAGUGGAAUUCCAUGUGUAGCGGUGAAAUGCGUAGAUAUAUGGAGGAACACCAAUGGCGAAGGCAACUUUCUGGAAUCAAACUGACGCUGAGGUACGAAGGCGUGGGGAGCAAACAGG
rnacentral:rRNA from 1 species